rnacentral:rRNA from 1 species
AGAGUUUGAUCCUGGCUCAGGAUGAACGCUAGCGGCAGGCCUAAUACAUGCAAGUCGUACGGUAAGACACCCUUCGGGGUGUUGAGAGUGGCGGACGGGUGCGUAACGCGUAUGCAACAACCCCCGACGGGCGGACAGCCGGUGGAAACGCCGGAUAAUACGCCAUGCGGCUGUCCAGGGGCACUCCCUCCGGCGGUCGAAGCCUUGGCGGUCGGGGACGGGCAUGCGUGCCAUUAGAUGGUCGGCGGGGUGACGGCCCACCGAGUCGACGAUGGCUAGGGGAUCUGAGAGGACGGUCCCCCACACUGGUACUGAGACACGGACCAGACUCCUGCGGGAGGCAGCAGUGAGGAAUAUUGGUCAAUGGGGGCAACCCUGAACCAGCCAAGUAGCGUGGAGGAUGACGGCCCUACGGGUUGUAAACUCCUUUUAUGCGGGGGUAAGGUGCGCCACGGGUGGUGUAUUGCAAGUACCGCAUGAAUAAGCAUCGGCUAACUCCGUGCC